CCUACGGGCGGCAGCAGUAGGGAAUCUUCCACAAUGGGCGCAAGCCUGAUGGAGCAACACCGCGUGAGUGAAGAAGGGUUUCGGCUCGUAAAGCUCUGUUGUUGGAGAAGAACGUGCGUGAGAGUAACUGUUUACGCAGUGACGGUAUCCAACCAGAAAGCCACGGCUAACUACGUGCCAGCAGCCGCGGUAAUACGUAGGUUGCAAGCGUUAUCCGGAUUUAUUGGGCGUAAAGCGAACGCAGGCGGUUGCUUAGGUCUGAUGUGAAAUCCUUGGGCUUAACCGAAGAAGUGCAUCGGAAACCGGACGGCUUGAGUGCAGAAGAGGACAGUAGAACUCCAUGUGUAGCGGUGGAAUGCGUAGAUAUAUGGAAGAACACCAGUGGCGAAGGCGGCUGUCUGGUCUGCGACUGACGCUGAGGUGCGAAAGCAUGGGUAGCGAACAGGAUUAGAUACCCUUGUAGUC
rnacentral:rRNA from 1 species